CGCGGCCUAUCAGCUUGUUGGUGGGGUGAUGGCCUACCAAGGCGACGACGGGUAGCCGGCCUGAGAGGGCGACCGGCCACACUGGGACUGAGACACGGCCCAGACUCCUACGGGAGGCAGCAGUGGGGAAUAUUGCGCAAUGGGCGGAAGCCUGACGCAGCGACGCCGCGUGGGGGAUGACGGCCUUCGGGUUGUAAACCUCUUUCGCCAGGGACGAAGCGCAAGUGACGGUACCUGGAUAAGAAGCACCGGCCAACUACGUGCCAGCAGCCGCGGUAAUACGUAGGGUGCGAGCGUUGUCCGGAAUUAUUGGGCGUAAAGAGCUCGUAGGCGGUCUGUCGCGUCGGUCGUGAAAACUUGGGGCUUAACCCUGAGCUUGCGGUCGAUACGGGCAUGACUGGAGUUCGGCAGGGGAGACUGGAAUUCCUGGUGUAGCGGUGAAAUGCGCAGAUAUCAGGAGGAACACCGGUGGCGAAGGCAGGUCUCUGGGCCGAUACUGACGCUGAGGAGCGAAAGCGUGGGGAGCGAACAGGAUUAGAUACCCUGGUAGUCCACGCCGUAAACGGUGGGCGCUAGGUGUGGGGGCCAUUCCACGGUCUCUGUGCCGCAGCUAACGCAUUAAGCGCCCCGCCUGGGGAGUACGG
rnacentral:rRNA from 1 species